AGUGAACGCUGGCGGUAGGCCUAACACAUGCAAGUCGAACGGCAGCACAGUAAGAGCUUGCUCUUACGGGUGGCGAGUGGCGGACGGGUGAGGAAUACAUCGGAAUCUACUUUUUCGUGGGGGAUAACGUAGGGAAACUUACGCUAAUACCGCAUACGACCUACGGGUGGAAGCAGGGGAUCUUCGGACCUUGCGCGAUUGAAUGAGCCGAUGUCGGAUUAGCUAGUUGGCGGGGUAAAGGCCCACCAAGGCGACGAUCCGUAGCUGGUCUGAGAGGAUGAUCAGCCACACUGGAACUGAGACACGGUCCAGACUCCUACGGGAGGCAGCAGUGGAGAAUAUUGGACAAUGGGCGCAAGCCUGAUCCAGCCAUACCGCGUGGGUGAAGAAGGCCUUCGGGUUGUAAAGCCCUUUUGUUGGGAAAGAAAAGCAGCAGGUUAAUACCCCGCUGUUCUGACGGUACCCAAAGAAUAAGCACCGGCUAACUUCGUG
rnacentral:rRNA from 1 species